UGGGGAAUAUUGCACAAUGGGCGCAAGCCUGAUGCAGCCAUGCCGCGUGUAUGAAGAAGGCCUUCGGGUUGUAAAGUACUUUCAGCGGGGAGGAAGGGAGUAAAGUUAAUACCUUUGCUCAUUGACGUUACCCGCAGAAGAAGCACCGGCUAACUCCGUGCCAGCAGCCGCGGUAAUACGGAGGGUGCAAGCGUUAAUCGGAAUUACUGGGCGUAAAGCGCACGCAGGCGGUCUGUCAAGUCGGAUGUGAAAUCCCCGGGCUCAACCUGGGAACUGCAUUCGAAACUGGCAUGCUAGAGUCUUGUAGAGUGGGGUAGAAUUCCAGGUGUAGCGGUGAAAUGCGUAGAGAUCUGGAGGAAUACCGGUGGCGAAGGCGGCCCCCUGGACAAAGACUGACGCUCAGGUGCGAAAGCGUGGGGAGCAAACAGG
rnacentral:rRNA from 1 species